rnacentral:rRNA from 1 species
UACAGAGGUCUCGAGCGUUGUUCGGAUUCAUUGGGCGUAAAGGGCGCGUAGGCGGCGGGGUAAGUCUGGUGUGAAAUCUCGGAGCUCAACUCCGAAACUGCAUUCGAUACUGCCGUGCUUGAGGACUGGAGAGGAGACUGGAAUUUACGGUGUAGCGGUGAAAUGCGUAGAUAUUCGGAGGAACACCAGAAGCGAAGGCGGCCAACUGGCCCGAUACUGACGCUGAGGCGCGAAAGCGUGGGGAGCGAACAGG